ACGUAGGGUGCAAGCGUUAAUCGGAAUUACUGGGCGUAAAGCGUGCGCAGGCGGUUAUGCAAGACAGAUGUGAAAUCCCCGGGCUCAACCUGGGAACUGCAUUUGUGACUGCAUAGCUAGAGUGUGGCAGAGGGGGAUGGAAUUCCGCGUGUAGCAGUGAAAUGCGUAGAUAUGCGGAGGAACACCGAUGGCGAAGGCAAUCCCCUGGGCCUGCACUGACGCUCAUGCACGAAAGCGUGGGGAGCAAACAGGAUUAGAUACCCUGGUAGUCCACGCCCUAAACGAUGUCAACUAGGUGUU
rnacentral:rRNA from 1 species